UACGUAGGGUGCGAGCGUUAAUCGGAAUUACUGGGCGUAAAGCGUGCGCAGGCGGUUUUGUAAGCCCGACGUGAAAUCCCCGGGCUUAACCUGGGAAUGGCGUUUGGGACUGGAAGUCUGGAGUGCGGCAGAGGAGACUGGAAUUCCUGGUGUAGCAGUGAAAUGCGUAGAUAUCAGGAGGAACACCGAUGGCGAAGGCAGGUCUCUGGGCUGACACUGACGCUCAUGCACGAAAGCGUGGGGAGCAAACAGG
rnacentral:rRNA from 1 species